ensembl:lncRNA
AUGCACCUAGGAUGCCUCUGGGGAAACUAUUCCCACCAGGAUGGAGUGAAGAGGGUCUGGGCUGGCAUGAGGAAGAUCACAGGCAUGAAACAGAAGUGGGGUUUGCUGGUGGAUGGCGACCAGAACCUGGCUGAUGAUCUGAAAAGGUUGUUUAAUAGAUUUGAAAAUCCCACAUCACCCUAGCUUGUUCCAUCUGGUCUGCUGCCGGAUGUUGUUGCCCCUUCUCCCACCAUCUUACCAAUUAUUACAUCUCCUCAGAGUCCUCUCUCCUUCUUACCUUUUCCAACAGUAGUUCUGCCUUUAAUUCUUCAGCCAUCUCAGGUCAAGAGGGAAUUGGACUAACUGAAGCUGGGCAAAGCAAUGGGGCUGGAUAGUAUUAGCCCCAGACUGCUGAAUACCUGCAUGCACAGUUGUGUUAUUUUCACAUACCUGUUUAAUCUGAGCCUGCGCUAACAGAAGCUCCCUGGACUGUGGAAAACAUCUUGACUGGUCCCUAUUCCCAAAAAGAGGCACCCUAUUGACCAAAGUGAUUAUCAGAAUCAGGUGAAUGUGUAUAGUGCAGAUCAGAGGUGAAUGUAGGUAGGUGGAUGUGAAUGUAGGUAGGUGAAUGUGUAUAGUGCAGAUCAGAGCAGAUGGGGGGUUGUAGACUGGCCUUUUCAAAUCGACAGUAAAACACAUUCAGAUUGUCAGCCAGAUGUUGAUUCUCCACAGAUUGUGGGGGUGAUGUCUUGUACAAGGUGAUGUUCUUGAGACCAGUUCAUACUGACGCCAGAUCAUUGGCUUAAAACUGUUUUCUCAGCUUUUCCGAGUAGUUUUUUUUUAGCCACCCUGUUGAAAUCCUUUGUUGUCCUUUGAUCUCCUUAGUCUGUUCCUGGCCUGGUUAUACAAUAUUUUUUCCCCACUUCUGUAAGCAUCCUCUUUGGCAUGACAAAGCUGUUUGCGUUUCCCAGUAAAUCACGGUUUAUCAUUAUUGAAUGAUAAGAAUGUCUUGGUGGGGAUGCACAUAUCCUCAUAGAAACUGAUAUAUGAAGUUACAGUCUCCGCGAGCUCAUCCAGAUUGGUGGCAACAGCUUCAAAAAUAUCAGUGAGGAAUAUCCCUAAACACCAAUAGCUACUUCCUCCAGAAAUUCUCUGAUGGUGCAGUAGUUGUUGGCUUAAUUAAGAGAGAUGAUGAGGAGGAGUA